UAACCCAAACCCUGACCGAACCCUAACCAAAACCCCACCAAACCCAUACCCAUAUCCACCCACCUAAAACACCCAAACCUUGACUGAACCCUAACCAAACCCACCUCUCUCACCAAAUUAACCCACCCCACCCUAACCCUUAGCCCUGGCGGCCUGACCUAAACCCACCUAAGACCACCGACACCCACAAACAUAACCAAAAGACCAUCGCGUCGCCACCGACAAACCCUAAGGCUAGAUCUACACCACAAUUACAUGAACACAAACCACCCACCAGCACCGUAGUUUCCUGACACAAACCACCCACCAGUCCACCGCCACAGCAACUCAACCACACAUCACCAUAAAAUUAAAAAAAAUCUCAAAAACCAAAAAUAAGUAAGAUAAAAAGAACAUACCUUGAAUGUCACCAACAAAACCCCGAAAUUGUCUUGAAUUUGGGUUUUAAAGGUCUAGAGUUUUCAUGGUCGAAUUUUUUUUUUUUUUUUUUUUUUUUUAUCAAAAGUUUUUUUUGUUCAUCAAAACCGCAAGUCCGCAUUCUCUCUCCUAUCAAAACUCUCACCACCGAUUGUUCAGUCCUCCGUCACAUCGUGGCUCUGGCAAUCAACCUGGACUAUCUAGCAGCCCUUCAUCGGCAAGAGUCGGUGACCUCACAUCCCCAAAUUUGGUUCUUCAUUCUCCAGUUCAGAAGCUAUAUAGGUAUUUAGGACAGAUAACGUAAUUCAGCUAGAGUGAUGUCAGAAACAAAAUCCAAAACACCUUCUCUACGACCCUGGCAGCUAUUUUAUUCAGAUCAUUGUCCACAUAUGGCAAAAUUUCGGAGCCUCCUUCAGAUUAUUGGCUUUAGUUCAAAAUCAACAUUAUUGACCUCCCUCAAAGAAUUUGCAACAGGCCUCUAGUGCUACAACUGAAUUUGCAGCAGGCCCUGGUGCUGUUGUCGCUGUCACAGUUACCGCUGUCAGUACUACUGCUGCUGCUGCUGUCUGCUGUUACUGUUGUCUGCUACUAUAAACUGCUGUUUGCUGAUGUAUACUAUUGUUUGGGAAUUUGGUUGUCUAGAGAUCGAAGUUCACUUUCUUUUUGUUUUGAUUAUUAGAUUGUUUAGCCAAACAAAAAAAAUUGGUGUUUAUGGAUGUUUUUUUUAAUGAAAUAAUGAAAUUAUAUCAA